CUGGGAGACAUGGGGACACAGACACUAGAGGACUGGGAGACAUGGGGACACAUGUGUAUGUUCACCCUUUUGGCCGUUCUGGUUAUGUGAUUUGUGUCAGUGGGGAUAUGGGUUGACUUGAAAGAUGAAAGCGUGAGAUUAGCAAAGGGUAUGUGUUUUCUCAUAGUUGCAUCCUAUGAGUUUCCCUCCAGCACCAUCUCCAUCAGAUACAUGGCACUUAGGAG